UACGGUGAUGAAUGUAAUCACAAUUGUCACUACCUCUGAGGCAUAUUCUUUGUCGUUUUGCUUUGUUUAUUUGUUAGUUUAUGUUAAGCCUGGUG
rfam:Eutrema salsugineum unplaced genomic scaffold scaffold_9, whole genome shotgun sequence.